GCUAACCACCAUGCCACCCUGAACACGUCCGAUCUUGUCUGAUCUCAGAAGCUAAGCAGGGUUGGGCCUGGUUAGUACAUGGAUGGCAGAAGAACUGGGAAUACUGUUUUACUUUGUC
rnacentral:rRNA from 1 species